GACAGAGGGUGCAAACGUUGUUCGGAAUUACUGGGCGUAAAGCGCGUGUAGGCGGCUCGGAAAGUCGGGUGUGAAAGCCCUGGGCUCAACCCAGGAAGUGCACUCGAAACUUCCAAGCUUGAGUCUUGGAGAGGAAGGCGGAAUUCUCGGUGUAGAGGUGAAAUUCGUAGAUAUCGAGAGGAACACCGGUGGCGAAGGCGGCCUUCUGGACAGUGACUGACGCUGAGACGCGAAAGCGUGGGGAGCAAACAGG
rnacentral:rRNA from 1 species